UACGUAGGCAGCGAGCGUUGUUCGGAAUUACUGGGCGUAAAGAGUGUGUAGGCGGUGCUCUAAGUUCGGUGUGAAAUCUCCUGGCUCAACUGGGGGGUGCGCCGGAAACUGGAGUGCUUGAGCGUGGGAGAGGAAAGCGGAAUUCCUGGUGUAGCGGUGAAAUGCGUAGAUAUCAGGAGGAACACCAAUGGCGAAGGCACUUUACUGGGCUAUUACUAACACUGGAGAAGACGGAAAGCUAGGGUAGCAAAUGGG
rnacentral:rRNA from 1 species